CUCCCUGUCUCAGGCAGUGUGGAAUCCUGGCUGUGUUUAAUUGGCGAGUGGCAGGCGGGCUUGGGAGACAGAGCAGGAGUGUGCGAGAUCUAAGGAAGCAAUUGGGACUCACAUGGAGAGGCAACUGCUCUCACUAGCUUUACGAGCUGCGACUUUGACUUUCUGAGAGAAAAAGAAACGAGGAAAGGGAGGUAGAAACUCAACAGAGAGGCGGAGAACCCGUGAGCUAGAGUUUAGGAGGGGGUGAACUGACUCAUUGAAUUUUCUUUUAUACAGUGUACAGAGAAGGGUUAAGGAAAUGGAAAGAAAGGAAGGGAGAGAUAGAGAGAGGAAAUGACAGAAGGAGCAACAAAGUACAAACAGAAUGAAGGAUAGGUACAGGAAAGGCUGCAAUGGAGUGAGAGAAUAGGGGGGAGGUGGGAGAGAAAGAGGCCCCACUGCUGGAGAGAGGGCAACAGCACUGACUGCAUACGGGAAAUGACAGAAGUUGAGGAGAGAGAGGGAGAGAAGGAAAGAGAAAGAAAGAAAAGAGGGAAAACAAGGGGAAGUUUGAAAAGAAAGGAAGGGGGAGGUGAGUCUUGAAACGGAGAGAGAGAAAAAUGCUAGAUGAGAAGUUGAAAGAAACAGCAUGUGAGAAAGGGGAACAGAAUGAGAAGUAGAGAACAAAAUACAGUAGAGAAGUGAAAGAAAAAGAACUACGCAGAUGAGAAAAACAGUCUUAGUGAAUGGCCUGGGUGGGGAAAGAGAGAGGAGGUAACUGGUUGUUUAGUAAGUCGUCAGCCUGGGCGGCUUUUAGUCUCUUACUGCUAUGCACUCAGAGAAGGCAGCAAACGGACAACGUGCCCUCCAUCCACCCCAGGACUUCUGCCACCACUGCUUACACCAGGGACCACUGUUAGCACAUCACAGGCAGCAGCUCAGUGAUGUGCAUUGCCCACCGCUGGAGCCGAGUCAAAGGUCACACGUGUGGAAGGAAGACUUGUCUCUUCCCUUUCCUCUUGAUCUGGAAACACUUGAGGACCGGACAGGGAGCCAUAACCAUCAUGACCUGCAGAGACGGCAGGUCUACUUGGGGCCAAGCCAUUACACUGUUUCUGAAAGGUGCAGCCCACCAUGCUACUUGUGGAGGGAGGUGAUGGCUCCUAGAUGGGACCCUCGAUUUCCUCCGUCCACAUGUGUGUGGGAGAGGGCAGCACUGGCACAUCAUGGGCAGGAGGUCGCUGAUGGGAGACUGGCAGGCAGGCUUGGGAGACAUAGUGACUGUGGCUCUGAGAGGGAAUGUCACCAUCAUCAGCUACCACACCCCCUUAAUGGGGGCCCUAUGCUGGCAAAGGUCAGGAGCCAGCAGUACUACAGGGAAGCUCGGAAUGUUUCAGAGGAGCAUCACUUGGACUGUGUGAUUGAGAACUAUCACCAGAAUACACAUCUACCAGUGCUAGAAUGGGACAAUAGAGAAAAAUCUGGAUGCAAUGGGCACUGUGAAAGGAGGCAUGUUACGUUUGAGGGUCAUGAUGAUGGACACCACAUAGAGAAUAAUGGACCAGGCAGUCCUAUCAAGAACCACUGUAAUGGAGCUAAGGCAUUCUUUUCAACAGAAGUUCCCCAGAGUAAAUUUACAGUCUUGAAGAAAUCAGGACCUAAGCUGCCAGUGAGUGGAAUCCACUGUGGAGAGAGCAAACCGGGUCAAACAGACAGGUCAGAGGUUGGGGGCAGCUGGAGCAACCACAGGACAAACCAGGGAACAGUGCGUGAGCAGAUCAAACAAGUGGUGACAGAGUUAGAGGAUGUGCUCAGUGGUCUCAAACAGGUUCAAAUAGAGAUGAAAGAGGUGGUCCAACAGAUUGAUGUUCUGACUUCCAACAUAGACCUGGGAGAGGAGGAGCAAGGACCGUUCAAUGGUCUGCCACAGGAAUCCAUGCACCACUCCAAAAGUAUUGGAGUUGUGGCACUUGUCCAUAAUGUCAACAGAGAAGUAGAAUCUCCAGACAGAGACAGCGCUCAUACUGGUGUUGGACCACAGCACACUCGUUCUCUGUUAGACCAUAGCUUUACAGCUGUGUUUUCUGCUCACCUUGACAAUCAUCCUGCCAAGGAGACCCACACAAACCCAUCCUCCCGUGCUCAUGGUCUGAUGACUGUUGAGUCUGCAGACAAUAGCCAGAUGAAUCAUGCGUCUGCUCUGGAGCAUCCGAAGACAAAGUGCACUGCCAAUGGAGACUGCCUGCGAGCCAGACCUCCCAGAACUAAAGUAAAAGAGCUCCAGCAUCCCAGAAGCAGAACCGAUCAUACAAAAUAUCCUGACCCCCCUUACACUCCAGCACCGCUUACCUUGGCUAAAACUAAAAGACCCCCACCGUACCCACAAAACGGACUGGUCAAAGGACCUUCAAAGGGUUCAAAUGUCCUGAAGACACCUCCUUACCCUGGAAAACAGAAACAGCUAACCUCCACCAUGGUGUAAAGGUGGGGUGACAGGGGAAGUUCCACUGCCUCAGAGCUCUGAUUGCACUUAUGCGGACAACACACUCUCAUACAGUACACACAGACACACAAAGAACGUAAAUAGGAUGUUUUAUCCCUCAGCAUCAUGGUUAGGUAACACAGGGAUGCUACAAAGAAGAGACACGUCAGCAUUGCAAGGACUUCUUAUUGGAACUGAAAGUAUUUCCUAUGGAAAGCACUAGAAAUGGUCUGUUCUCUCUCUCUCUCUCUCUCUCUCUCUCUCUCUCUCUCUCUCUCUCUCUCUCUCUCUCUCUCUCUCUCUCUCUCUCUCUCUCUCUCUCUCUCUCUCUUUUUAUCCAUACUGGUCAUCCAAGCUCUGAUUCUUUGCCCCUUAAAGGAAUCUCUACAGAGAUAGAAGCUGCUGCUCAACUGGAAAGCAAGUCUAGACUCCCAAAUAUUAUGCAACAUAUCCAACAAAACUUGCCUGGGAUAUGAAAUCUGUGAGUGGACUGUUCAGAAGACCAAAGAGAAUAAAUAGAAGUCUUUUAUUAUUCUUUAAUUGUUUGUUCAAAUCUUUAAGAGCAAAACCCAACUGUGUAAAAGGAUUAUAUCCAACCUGUGUCUCUGCAUCAGUCUGUAAGCCGUUCACAUUAUACUGGGAUUAGUUCAUGAUUUAUUUAGUUUUGUAUUUAUGCUGUAUCAUUGAUAUAUGAUGUCCAGAAGAGGGCGCUAGAGCCCAUAAAAGUGUCCCUGAACUAUUAUGACACAUAAGAAAUAAAAAAGGAGAAGUUUGGAACAUA